UUUUCCCGGCAGCGGCGCCAAAAUGUGAUUGUCGUUUUACUUACUCUAACUUAUCUAAUCAGAGUAAACCUGUAUAGGGGAAUUCGAACACAGGGAAAGAAUACCGCAUGAGCUUACACGUUAGGGUCACACAAUUAACUGUAUUCCGCACUACUUAAAACAUCCAAGAAACACUACAAUGCUUUCCACUUCCUAAUAAUACUCCACCAUCACUGAUAACAACAACAUGUAAU
rnacentral:lncRNA from 1 species